CCAUGAAUUUUAGUAAGUUAAUAACUCCUAUUAAUUUAUUUAUAUGGUGGCACAAAAUCGGAAGCCCCGACUGUUUACUAAAAACACAACUAUCUGCAAUUAUGAAAAUAAUAGUAUAGGUAGUGAGAUUUGCCCAAUGCCAGAUUAAUAAGUAAUAAUAAUGGGUAACUGUUUCUUUACAAAAAAUUGGUUAAUAGCGGUCUUAACUAUGAGGAUCCUAAGGUAGCAAAAUAAAUUGGCCAUUAAAUGUGGUCCAGUAUCAAUAAUUUAACGAUGGCUUCACUGUCUCUACAACUUGCUCAGUGAAAUUGAAUUACCCGUGCAGAUGCGGGUUACCUCAAAGAGGACGGGAAGACCCUAUGCAGCUUCU
rnacentral:rRNA from 1 species